UACGUAGGGGGCAAGCGUUGUCCGGAAUCAUUGGGCGUAAAGCGCGUGUAGGCGGCUUGGCAAGUCGGGUGUGAAAGCCCUGGGCUCAACCCAGGAAGUGCACUCGAAACUGCUUCGCUCGAGUAUCGGAGAGGAAAGCGGAAUUCUCGGUGUAGAGGUGAAAUUCGUAGAUAUCGAGAGGAACACCGGUGGCGAAGGCGGCUUUCUGGACGAUUACUGACGCUGAGACGCGAAAGCGUGGGGAGCAAACAGG
rnacentral:rRNA from 1 species